GCUGAGUUGGGUAGCGCCAACUUGUGACCCGAGUGGGAGCAUUAGAGUGAUGGAACAUGGCUACGGCUUGUUGGGCUGGUCUGUUGGCUGCAAUAUGCUGGCCUGCCCGCUCCAAGUUGAGAGUUGGUCCACGGGACUUGUGCGAAGGCCUAUGUCUCUUGGUUCCUAGACGAGAGGGAAUGGCGUGAGGCUGGUUUCACAGAGCAGCGAAUACCUCUGGCUCCUGACAGUGGAGGGAUUACGGGCUGCUGCACUUUCAGUCCAUUAAGCCCGCUGAGCCUAGCCUCUGAACCAUCACUUUU
rnacentral:SRP_RNA from 2 species